GUCUCAGAGCAGGAUGGGGCAUGCCCAUGUGAUCCUAAGGGCAGUUACACACUGGGACUCUUCGCUUUAAACUGUUUGAGGAGAUACCAAAAAACCCACAACGGAACAGGCUGCCGAAGCAGACGCUGUCUUUGCCCCACAAAAGCUGUGCCAUCUUGGAGCAGAUAAAACCCAGAACACAGGAGGGGAUGUUCCCAAUGUGGACAUGAUAACUACAGAGAGCAGCCUCUUUUGAGUGCCAAGUCACCUGAAAAUAUCCACACGUCUACUUUGAUCAGCUAUGUUGGACCCUCACCACAAAUAUUUUCUCUGUCCCCUCAACAUGAUAGACGUGCUGGACUUGUGCCCGAUAAAAUGUCCUGCCUUUCCUCUGUUCACUGCCUACAGCCUCUUGCUUGCCAUCAGUCUGCCUCUGCCCCAAUGAAGGAAGUCUGUGCCGCUUUGUUUCCACUAACCUGCUGGGAUGGUCUCAUUCCUCUGCUGUUACAAUUUCUUCUUAAGUAUAUAUGUCUAAAAACAAACCUAAGGAAAUGUACGAAAGUCCUUUACAAAAGCCACCAGCUGUUAUGAGGACCCUUAAAGAAGAUCUUAAUUAGGACCCU
rnacentral:lncRNA from 1 species